GUACAAAUCAUCUAAGUAUGGCUUACAGCAGAAUAUGCAUAUGUUAGAUAGGUGAGCAAUGCUAUGCUAGGUUCUCUGUCUCAAUUCUCUACUCUUCAAAAUCUUCCAACUCCCAUCUAAAAACUCAAUCUUCAAAGCCUAGCACAAAUGCUAUCAAUUAAGAAGUAAAAUGAACGUUCCAAGAGAAAAAAAUAAGUUGCUAUACAAUAAAGUGAAAGACAUUCAGAUCUGAGGCCAACCACUAAAACUAAACCUCCACAAUAACCAUAUUGUGUAAUUUAAUACAGCAACUGCGACCAACUACUAAAACUACUUAGUUUAGAAGCCUGAGUGAUUUUCUUUAUAUACCACAAACACACGCAUACAAACGUAUUUAUAUAUAGCAACAAGGUUGGAACACUGUACCCAAAAUAUAUACAAACAUUCACACCGUACUUUUGCCCUCCAUUUUCUCGGGAACCAAACAUGGUUGGAUAUUUUCCAAUUUUAGACUAGAAAGUACAACAACAAAUUGGACUUGAAACUAGCCUUAAACCAAAUAAAGCAAUACAGAAGAAAAAUUAACAUCACACAACUCUACAGCUUACAAUAAACUAAAACAGUAAGUAAUUAUUUAUCAUCUCGUACUUUGUAUGCACAACAAUUCCUAUUUCUUUUUCCACUUCCUAUUUUUCUUUUUCACAAAUUUUCAAACUAAUUCACUGCUUACUAAAAAAAAUAUCAACAACAAAAACCAUAGAAACCUACAUUAGCAAAGCACUGAAACGGCCAAACCGUAAUAGCAAAAAGGUCAUUUCUUGUACAGCAGAGCCACUACAAAGCGCUCAUCAAGCAUUUCAGAAAAGAUCUCAAGCUCUUACCACAAAUUUACAUGCUAUUAGCCUGUUUGGUUCGUGAGAAAAUGUAGGGAAACUUCAGUGAGAAAAAAUUCAAAUAAAUCUUCAACGAAAUCAUCCUCAGGUCGCAAUGCAAUUAUUUAGCUUGGUUGCUGAGUUCCUCUAUACCUUAGAAACAAAAAUCAGCUAAAAAAUCUUUUCUCCUUAGAAUUUCUCAGUUCAACAGGAUUUUUGGAAUGGUUUGAUCUAACCGUUAUAACUGUGAAAGGAUAUUGACUUACAGCAAUCUAUUAGGAUAAAAUUGGUCAAUGAACUGGCACG
rnacentral:lncRNA from 1 species